GCCGAAGUGGCGGAAAGGCAGACGCGGUGGUCUCAAAAACCACUGGGGGCAACUCCUUGUGGGUUCGAAUCCCACCUUCGGCA
rnacentral:tRNA from 1 species